UGAGAGAUGGAGAAUCGAUGAUACUGUCGUGCCAAGAAAAGCCACUAAGUUUAUUAUAUGUUGCCCGUACCGUAAACCGACACAGGUGGGUGGGAUGAGUAUUCUAAGGCGCGUGGAAGAACCCUCUUUAAGGAACUCUGCAAAAUAGCACCGUAUCUUCGGUAUAAGGUGUGCCUACUUUGGUAUAUGGACUUGCUCCAAAAAGCUAGAGAGGUUGCAACAAAGAGUCCCUCCCGACUGUUUACCAAAAACACAGCACUUUGCUAACACGUAAGUGGAUGUAUAAGGUGUGACGCCUGCCCGGUGCUCGAAGGUUAACUGAUGAUGUCAGCGCAAGCGAAGCAUUUGAUUGAAGCCCGAGUAAACGGCGGCCGUAACUAUAACGGUCCUAAGGUAGCGAAAUUCCUUGUCAGUUAAAUACUGACCUGCAUGAAUGGCGUAACGAGAUGGGAGCUGUCUCAAAGAGGGAUCCAGUGAAAUUGUAGUGGAGGUGAAAAUUCCUCCUACCCGCGGAAAGACGGAAAGACCCCGUGCACCUUUACUACAGCUUGACACUGUAGCUUGGAUAUUCAUGUGCAGGAUAGGUGGGAGGCUAUGAUGACUAGACGCAAGUAGAGUCGGAGCCAUCCUUGAGAUACCACCCUUGAAUAUUUGAGUUACUAACUGCGAUGAGUUAUCCUCAUUCAGGACAAUGUCUGGUGGGUAGUUUGACUGGGGCGGUCGCCUCCUAAAUAGUAACGGAGGCUUACAAAGGUUAGUUCAAAGCGGUUGGAAAUCGCUUGUUGAGUAUAAUGGCAUAAACUAGCUUGACUGUGAGACCUACAAGUCGAACAGAGACGAAAGUCGGUCAUAGUGAUCCGGUGGUUCUGCGUGGAAGGGCCAUCGCUCAAAGGAUAAAAGGUACGCCGGGGAUAACAGGCUGAUCUCCCCCAAGAGCUCACAUCGACGGGGAGGUUUGGCACCUCGAUGUCGGCUCAUCGCAUCCUGGGGCUGUAGUGGGUCCCAAGGGUAUGGCUGUUCGCCAUUUAAAGCGGUACGCGAGCUGGGUUCAGAACGUCGUGAGACAGUUCGGUCCCUAUCUUCCGUGGGCGUAGGAAAGUUGAAGAGAUUUGUCCCUAGUACGAGAGGACCGGGAUGAACCAACCACUGGUGUACCAAUUGUUCUGCCAAGAGCAUCGUUGGGUAGCCACGUUGGGAUGUGAUAAGAGCUGAAAGCAUCUAAGCUCGAAGCCAACUCUAAGAUGAACUUUCCCUGAAGUUCCCAGCAAGACUAGCUGGUUGAUAGGCUGG
rnacentral:rRNA from 1 species